AUUGCCUUAAUACGGCGAGUGAGCGGCACAAGCUCAAAUUUGAAAUCUGGUACCUACGGUGCCCGAGUUGUAAUUUGGAGAGUACCACUUUGGGACUGUACUUUGCCUAUGUUCCUUGGAACAGGACGUCAUGGAGGGUGAGAAUCCCGUGUGGCGAGGGUGUCAGUUCUUUGUAAAGGGUGCUCGAAGAGUCGAGUUGUUUGGGAAUGCAGCUCUAAGUGGGUGGUAAAUUCCAUCUAAAGCUAAAUACAGGCGAGAGACCGAUAGCGAACAAGUACAGUGAUGGAAAGAUGAAAAGAACUUUGAAAAGAGAGUGAAAAAGUACGUGAAAUUGUUGAAAGGGAAGGGCAUUUGAUCAGACAUGGUGUUUUGCGCCCCUUGCCUCU
rnacentral:rRNA from 1 species